GCCAAUGAAAGGGUUUUGGUCCCUGGAAAUGAGGAUGGCCGAUCCACAUGAGCAGGGUAUUUAAAAGGUUCUCUUCCCAAUUGGCUAUCUCUUCUGACCUUCAUGACUGGCUUAAUAGGCGGAAAGAAGAUCAGACAGAAACAAUGAAUGCUGGCCUGUGCGGUAUUUCUUCUAUCAGGAAGAACAGCU